rnacentral:rRNA from 1 species
GAUGAACGCUAGCGGCAGGCUUAAUACAUGCAAGUUGAGGGGCAGCAUGAUAUACGCGAGUAUAUUGAUGGCGACCGGCGGACGGGUGAGUAAUAGGUAGGAGACCUACCUCAUACAGGGGGAUAGCAUAGAGAAAUCUGUGGUAAUACCCCAUGAGGUUAUAUGAAUAGAGGCAUAUAAUCAAAGCAUAAGUGAUUAUGCGGUAUGAGAGGGGCCUACUGACCAUUAGCUAGUUGGUGAGGUAAGGGCUCACCAAGGCGAAGAUGGUUAGGGGUUUGAGAGAGAGACCCCCCACAUUGGAACUGAGAGACGGUCCAGACUCCUACGGGAGGCAGCAGUAGGGAAUAUUGGGCAAUGGGCGAAAGCCUGACCCAGCCAUGCCGCGUGAAGGAAGACGGCCUUAUGGGUUGUAAACCUCUGUCAUGGGGGAAGAAGGAAGUGACGGUACCCCAAGAGGAAGCCCCUGCUAACUACGUG